GAAGAAGCUGUCAAGGAGGCUGAACAAGUCCUUCAAAGGUUCAACCCUUCACAGCUGAAAGGGAAGACCAAAGCAAGGCCUGUUAUGGGAUUUGAAUUUGACCAUCUUGUGCGUUUAUGGAGAAGACCAAAAGCUGCAAAGGCAAACACUUCCAAUGGUAGAAACUGAGAGUUUGCAUGAUGGCCUUUUCUCAGACUGAAUCUGAUGUAUACAGAUGAACUCAGGAGCCUGCGAGAGCCAGGGAACUUGAGCUUGAAGUAUAUAAUUAUAACUGCUUCAUUUAUAUGUUUAAACAACAAUAAUAAUUAAACAUGGGGUCAAUAAAUAUUUU